rnacentral:misc_RNA from 1 species
CAGAGUUCGUGCCCUCACGGGUAGAUCUCCCACCCUGUGUUAUUAUACCUUUGUUGCUUUGGCGGGCCGCCCUCGGCUACCGGCCCCGGCUGGUACGCGCCCGCCAAAGGACCCUCAAACUCUGAAUAUUAGUGUCGUCCGAGUACUAUAAAAUAGUUA